rnacentral:rRNA from 1 species
AAGAGCUCAUCAUUGGAAUCUGGCAGUGUUGCACUGUCCGAGUUGUAGAUGAGGAGUAGUCCGUCUGGACUGCAUGGCGUCCAAGUACAAUAGGCCGUCAGUGGGACAUCAUAGAGGGUGACAAUCCCGUCCUUGACGCUAAUGUGCAAGUCUAUUACGAUGGCUAUCUCAGAGAGUCGAGCAGUUUGGGAUUUGCUGCUUAAACAUGGGAGGUAGAUUCCUUCUAAAGCUAAAUACAGGCGAGAGACCGAUAGAGAACAAGUACCGCAAGGGAAAGAUGAAAUAGCACUCUGUGAAGGGAGUCAAAAGGCGUGAAAUUGUUGCGAGAGAAGCGAUUCAAGUCAGCGUAGCUAGGCCCAUCAAGCGUCUUCGCUUUGGACUAGCUUUGCCAGCGGUCUUGUCCCUUAAAGAGACUUGACUUGUAAUAUGUCCAGCCUGGCGUGCACAGGCAGCCCCUUCUGGGGGCCAGUGGCAUGGCUGGUGGAAUGGCUUGCAAUCGACCCGUCUUGAAACACGGACCAAGGAGUCUAACAUGUAUGCGAGUAUAAGGGUGGCAAACCCGUAUGCGCAAUGAAAGUGAUUUUCGGUGAUUGAGAAUGGCCUGAUGACCAGACAAGCAAUACAUGUCCCUCGUACGGCCAUUGCCCAAGUUCCGUGGUAGAUCCCACGAACAUGGAGUUGGAGCAUACAUGCUAGGACCCGAAAGAUGGUGAACUAUGCCUGGACAAAGCGAAGCCAAAGGAAACUCUGGUGGAGGCUUGUAGCGAUUCUGACGUGCAAAUCGAUCGUCUGAUCUGGGUA